rnacentral:other from 1 species
AUUUCUCUGAGAUGUUCGCAAGCGGGCCAGUCCCCUGAGCCGAUAUUUCAUACCACAAGAAUGUGGCGCUCCGCGGUUGGUGAGCAUGCUCGGUCCGUCCGAGAAGCCUUAAAACUGCGACGACACAUUCACCUUGAACCAAGGGUUACAGCCUGCGGCGGCAUCUCGGAGAUUCC